rnacentral:rRNA from 1 species
GAUGAACGCUGGCGGCGUGCUUAACACAUGCAAGUCGAACGGAAAGGCCCAAGCUUGCUUGGGUACUCGAGUGGCGAACGGGUGAGUAACGCGUGGGUGAUCUGCCCUGCACUUCGGGAUAAGCCUGGGAAACUGGGUCUAAUACCGGAUAGGACGAUGGUUUGGAUGCCAUUGUGGAAAGUUUUUUCGGUGUGGGAUGAGCUCGCGGCCUAUCAGCUUGUUGGUGGGGUAAUGGCCUACCAAGGCGUCGACGGGUAGCCGGCCUGAGAGGGUGUACGGCCACAUUGGGACUGAGAUACGGCCCAGACUCCUACGGGAGGCAGCAGUGGGGAAUAUUGCACAAUGGGCGCAAGCCUGAUGCAGCGACGCCGCGUGGGGGAUGACGGCCUUCGGGUUGUAAACUCCUUUCGCUAGGGACGAAGCGUUUUUGUGACGGUACCUGGAGAAGAAGCACCGGCUAACUACGUG